rnacentral:rRNA from 1 species
AGGGUUUGAUCAUGGCUCAGAUUGAACGCUGGCGGAAUGCUUUACACAUGCAAGUCGAACGAUGAAGCCUAGCUUGCUAGGUGAAUUAGUGGCAGACGGGUGAGUAAUAUAUCGGAACGUGUCCAUUAAUGGGGGAUAACUAAUCGAAAGGUUAGCUAAUACCGCAUACGCCCUGAGGGGGAAAGCUGGGGAUCUUCGGACCUAGCGUUAAUGGAGCGGCCGAUACCUGAUUAGCUAGUUGGUGGGGUAAAAGCCUACCAAGGCAACGAUCAGUAGCUGGUCUGAGAGGACGACCAGCCACACUGGGACUGAGACACGGCCCAGACUCCUACGGGAGGCAGCAGUGGGGAAUUUUGGACAAUGGGGGCAACCCUGAUCCAGCCAUUCCGCGUGAGUGAAGAAGGCCUUCGGGUUGUAAAGCUCUUUCGCAAGGGAAGAAACGAUAUAGGUUAAUAGCUUAUGUUAAUGACGGUACCUUGACAAGAAGCACCGGCUAACUACGUGCCAGCAGCCGCGGUAAUACGUAGGGUGCAAGCGUUAAUCGGAAUUACUGGGCGUAAAGCGUGCGCAGGCUGUUUUGUA